ACCUAGCUGAAGAGUUCCGAAUAGGACGAAACGCUCGUCUUGGAU
rfam:Schistosoma margrebowiei strain Zambia genome assembly, scaffold: SMRZ_contig0000269